GUCGACGGUGAAGAGGAGCUUGCUCCUUGGAUCAGUGGCGAACGGGUGAGUAACACGUGAGCAAUCUGCCCUUGACUCUGGGAUAACUGCGGGAAACUGUAGCUAAUACCGGAUAUUACCUUGGAAGGCAUCUUCUGGGGUGGAAAGAAUUUUGGUCAAGGAUGAGCUCGCGGCCUAUCAGCUAGUUGGUGAGGUAAUGGCUCACCAAGGCGACGACGGGUAGCCGGCCUGAGAGGGUGACCGGCCACACUGGGACUGAGACACGGCCCAGACUCCUACGGGAGGCAGCAGUGGGGAAUAUUGCACAAUGGGCGCAAGCCUGAUGCAGCAACGCCGCGUGAGGGACGACGGCCUUCGGGUUGUAAACCUCUUUUAGUAGGGAAGAAGCGACUGGGUUUUCCUGGGAGUGACGGUACCUGCAGAAAAAGCACCGGCUAACUACGUGCCAGCAGCCGCGGUAAUACGUAGGGUGCAAGCGUUGUCCGGAAUUAUUGGGCGUAAAGAGCUCGUAGGCGGUUUGUCGCGUCUGCUGUGAAAACCCGAGGCUCAACCUCGGGCCUGCAGUGGGUACGGGCAGACUAGAGUGCGGUAGGGGAGAUUGGAAUUCCUGGUGUAGCGGUGGAAUGCGCAGAUAUCAGGAGGAACACCAAUGGCGAAGGCAGAUCUCUGGGCCGUAACUGACGCUGAGGAGCGAAAGCAU
rnacentral:rRNA from 1 species